GACGGGGGGGGCAAGUGUUCUUCGGAAUUACUGGGCGUAAAGCGCGUGUAGGCGGCUCUGCAAGUCGGGUGUGAAAUCCCACGGCUCAACCAUGGAAGUGCACUCGAAACUGCAGGGCUAGAGUCCUGGAGAGGAAUGUGGAAUGCUUGGUGUAGAGGUGAAAUUCGUAGAUAUCAAGCGGAACACCGGUGGCGAAGGCGGCCUUCUGGACAGUGACUGACGCUGAGAGGCGAAAGCGUGGGGAGCAAACAGG
rnacentral:rRNA from 1 species